rnacentral:rRNA from 1 species
GCUGGCGGCAUGCCUAACACAUGCAAGUCGAACGGAAACGAUGGGAGCUUGCUCCCAGGCGUCGAGUGGCGGACGGGUGAGUAAUACAUAGGAAUCUGCCCAGUAGCGGGGGACAACUUGGGGAAACUCAAGCUAAUACCGCAUACGCCCUACGGGGGAAAGCAGGGGAUCUUCGGACCUUGCACUAUUGGAUGAGCCUAUGUCAGAUUAGCUUGUUGGUAGGGUAAUGGCCUACCAAGGCGACGAUCUGUAGCUGGUCUGAGAGGACGAUCAGCCACACUGGGACUGAGACACGGCCCAGACUCCUACGGGAGGCAGCAGUGGGGAAUAUUGCACAAUGGGCGAAAGCCUGAUGCAGCAAUGCCGCGUGUGUGAAGAAGGCCUGCGGGUUGUAAAGCACUUUCAGUAGGGAGGAAACAGUUGCGGGUUAAUACCCCGCGACCUUGACGUUACCUACAGAAGAAGCACCGGCUAACUCUGUGCCAGCAGCCGGCGGUAAUACAGAGGGUGCAAGCGUUAAUCGGAAUUACUGGGCGUAAAGCGCGCGUAGGCGGCUUGGUCAGUCGG